rnacentral:rRNA from 1 species
UACGUAGGUGGCGAGCGUUAUCCGGAAUGAUUGGGCGUAAAGGGAGCGUAGGCGGACUUUUAAGUGAGAUGUGAAAUACUCGGGCUCAACUUGAGUGCUGCAUUUCAAACUGGAAGUCUAGAGUGCAGGAGAGGAGAAUGGAAUUCCUAGUGUAGCGGUGAAAUGCGUAGAGAUUAGGAAGAACACCAGUGGCGAAGGCGAUUCUCUGGACUGUAACUGACGCUGAGGCUCGAAAGCGUGGGGAGCAAACAGG